GGGCCGCAGUCUCUUCGACUCAGUCUGCGAGUCUCAGGGGGAAAAGGAGCUCCAGAGGUGCGCCCCCAAUUCCAGCGCUCUUCUCCUCGCACCGUAAUUGCGGGAGGAGAGAAAAUAGGAGUGAGGAAAGGUGCAUUUUCCGUCUCACCUCAGGCCUCCGCUAAGGAAACCGUGUAGUCCUGACCAGUGGGCUCAAGGCCCUACUGGAAACUGGUUCUGAUUGCAACUGUCUCAGCUUAUGAGGAAACAAGAACAAGUAACGAGCACACUUUUCAACUGCGCUGAGGAUCCAAAAAUGAAUAAAACACGGUCCCUGCCCUCACAAGACUCCAAGUACGGGGUGCGUCACACUCAUGAGCAGCUAAGCACAGACUGCGGAAAAGGUAAAACUGGCUUUCAAAUCUGCUAAUUGGUGAAAAGAGAUCAGCACCCCUCUCAAGUUACAGAGGCAGAACUUCAGCUGGUCCUUAUUAAACGAAAGAUCUUCAGUGAAGGUUGAAAGCCCUUCAGAUCAAUCGCAUCACUUUGAGCUCCUCUAAUCUCCCUAGUUCAAUCAUCUGUGCUCACGGCUCACAGGUGUGCAGACAGCUACGUCCAGGACUAACCCAGGACAAAAAUAGUUACCACCCAGUUGAAAUAUCCUUUCUACGGAAGGACCAGACCCAGUGAUCCUACAAGGGGGAGUGUGAGGAUCUGGCUGCUCAGGCCUACAAGGCAAGUUGUGCAGGAUGAAUCUGGAAACCUUGACACACAAGAAAGCAGGGACACCAAAGACUCUGAAAGCAGCACGCUGAAGACUUCCAGCAGCCAGAAACGGGACAAUUUGAGUUUUGAUAAUAAUGGCAAUGGUUAAAACAUCAAAAACAUAAAAAAUUCAUGAAUUCAUAGACAGACUGAAGGAAAUCCACAAAAACCUCAUUGGUUCUCUUUGGAGAAUACGGGGAAACAAACUCAUUAUUCUAAAAAAUGAUAAAAGGAACAUUUAUUCUGCCUUUUCAGUAUAAACUAGACCUCAGUGUAACCACGUAGUUGAUGAAGGAAAGUUUCUCCUUAUAGAAGUAUUUAUUGUAUCUAAGAAUAAAUAGAAUUAUUGACUGAUAAA